rnacentral:tRNA from 1 species
CAAAGAGUAGUUUAUAAAAAUAAUAAUUUUGGAGAUUAUAGAUAAAGAAAAUCUUUUUCUUUGA